rnacentral:rRNA from 1 species
AUUGGACGCUGGCGGCAGGCCUAACACAUGCAAGUCGAGCGGCAGCGGAAAGUAGCUUGCUACUUUGCCGGCGAGCGGCGGACGGGUGAGUAAUGUCUGGGAAACUGCCUGAUGGAGGGGGAUAACUACUGGAAACGGUAGCUAAUACCGCAUAACGUCGCAGGACCAAAGAGGGGGACCUUCGGGCCUCUUGCCAUCAGAUGUGCCCAGAUGGGAUUAGCUAGUAGGUGGGGUAACGGCUCACCUAGGCGACGAUCCCUAGCUGGUCUGAGAGGAUGACCAGCCACACUGGAACUGAGACACGGUCCAGACUCCUACGGGAGGCAGCAGUGGGGAAUAUUGCACAAUGGGCGCAAGCCUGAUGCAGCCAUGCCGCGUGUAUGAAGAAGGCCUUCGGGUUGUAAAGUACUUUCAGCGGGGAGGAAGGUGUUGUGGUUAAUAACCACAGCAAUUGACGUUACCCGCAGAAGAAGCACCGGCUAACUCCGUGCCAGCCGCCGCGGUAA